rnacentral:rRNA from 1 species
AUUGAACGCUGGCGGAAUGCUUUACACAUGCAAGUCGAACGGCAGCACGGGGCAACCUGGUGGCGAGUGGCGAACGGGUGAGUAAUACAUCGGAACGUGCCCAAUCGUGGGGGAUAACGUAGCGAAAGUUACGCUAAUACCGCAUACGAUCUACGGAUGAAAGCGGGGGAUCGCAAGACCUCGCGCGAAUGGAGCGGCCGAUGUCAGAUUAGGUAGUUGGUGGGGUAAAGGCUCACCAAGCCAAUGAUCUGUAGCUGGUCUGAGAGGACGACCAGCCACACUGGAACUGAGACACGGUCCAGACUCCUACGGGAGGCAGCAGUGGGGAAUUUUGGACAAUGGGCGCAAGCCUGAUCCAGCCAUUCCGCGUGCAGGAUGAAGGCCUUCGGUUGUAACUGCUUUGUACGUACGAAACGUACGUGCCUAUACGACGGCGUAAUGACGUACCGUAAGAACUAAGACACCGGCUAACUACGUGCCAGCAGCCGCGG